rnacentral:lncRNA from 1 species
AUCGACUUGAUGCUACUACAAUUUACUCUUUGAAGAACCUCCGUAAGUAUGUAUGUGAGAUAGCAAGCAAUGUUGGAUGCCCUCACUGUUUCCUUCUGAUUGGCAUAUAGGACUAUGUGCUUGUCCAGUAUACAUAUCUCCAGUUUUCUAUUAAUUCUUUGGUACAAACGGAAUACAUGUAGCACUUUGUAAAUGUUUCCAUGUGAAAAUAUCAUACUAUAACAUUAUGUUCUAUUUAAUUCCCAGAAGUAAUACUUGGUUUCAACUUUGAAAGACACAUGAAUUCUUCUAUGGGGCGUCCGAACAAAAGGAGCAUCCCGUCACUACGGUAAUUUUGGUCACUUACCUGAACAAAAAGGGCUAUGAUCUCUUAAUGAAAUUGGGGGUCCAUUGCGGAUCCUUUUAUUGGAAAAGAUAAUCUAUUCACAUGGGGGCUGGGUUCUCGUUGACGAACUGAAACAUGCCGCUCUUAAAUUAGCAAGCAGGAAACUACAGGCAUAGUUGACAUUGGACCUUUAUGUUGUAUUUUUUUCAUAUGGUGAAAAAGAGAGUUCAUAUUUUGCAUAUGGCCAUGUUCUCUUAUAGAAUAAAAAUAAGGAUAUGUUGACAUUCGACUUUUAUGUCGUCAUUCUUCCAUGAUGGUUAGCCUACUGUUAAUAUCCUGUUCUCCAACUAACACAUUCUUGCAAGAAAUCACAAUUGAUGAAAUAAUUUUGAGCACUUACUUUUUCGAAUUUUAUGUUUACAAGAAGAUUUACUGGUUACAAAGAUUAAACAGACAAACCACUUUUUCAGAAAGCCAUUUUAGAUCCCACUAAGACAAAAUAGAAGUGUGCUACUGCUAGUGUGUAUACUGGAACAUAAUGCAUGUUUGACAUGAAUGCUAUUGAAAAUUUUGAGUUGUUAUGGUGUUCCUAAUAACUUAAAGUUGUCGUAUAAUUUAACUGAACCAUAGUACUCUCAAUCAGAGAGCAUGAACUUGGGAGUUACUAUGCAACCAUUCAGUUGACUUGUGAAGUAGUCAUGCUUGAAUAUCUGGGCUGUUGUGAUGGCCUUAAUAGUGCAAAGCUAUGCAUAUAAAGCUGUCAUGCUUGUAUAAGUGGGAAGUACACAAAGCUGCUGUCAUGACCUUACUGUCCAAAUCUAAUGGAAAAUUGUGUUGAACUAGUGUGUAUACUAUACUGGAAGAUAAUGCAUGGUUAACAUAAAUGGUAUUGGAAUUAUUUAGCUGCUAUGGUGUUCCUAAUAGCUUAAACUGUUGUGAAGAUGAACUUAACCAAAUUACUCUCAAACUAGAGAGCAAGAAAUUGGGAGAUAGUUUCCUGUAUAGUACUCCCUCUGUUCACUUUUAUAAGACCUUGGAGACAUUUCAGACGAUGUGCAAAACAGUUCAUUUUAAGUUGUCUGAAACGACUCACAAAAGUGAACGGAGGGAGUAAUAGUUUCUGUAUGUGCAGCAAUUUAGUUACCUUCUGAAGUAAUAGUUGAUGCCAUGCUUGUAAGUGGGUUGGUGUCAUGACCUUAACAGCGCAAAGCUAUGCACAUAACAUUCACAUUUUAUUUUGAGUUUCCCUUCAGCAAUUACUUGUGAACUUUCCAGCACUAAACUGUAUUUGGCUGAGUAUAUCAAUAUUCAAACUUGUUUGUGUCGCUUUCACUUUUUUGUGAGCUAUUAAUCGUUCUAUUGGUGAAGUGAAUAUUAAUAUAAUUUAUCUCAAGGAGAAACUGAAAGAAUUCCAGAUCUUGAUGAAUGUAUACCUCGGUUUGUGAGGAUCUGAAGAAACCCUUUUUCCCUUUACAGGUAGUGGAGCAAGAUUUCUUAUAUAUGGGUGAGGGCGUCAAUCAAUGUUGGUAGUUGGGACAAGGAAUCUCAUGACUGCAAUAUAUAGCUACCACGUUGGACCAGGCGCGAUUAUCUUGAGUAUAGCUAGACGGAAAAACAUCUUUCGAAGGUAACCUGACCCAUCCUGUUUAUUUUGUGAAAUUUAAAGUUAAAAUAAGGGAUGUAUUCACCAGCUAGUCAAUCUCCUUCCAGGAAGAAUAGUACAUAAAACUCUAUGCUUAGCACACAUCUGCUAUGGAAAGUACAUCAUCAUAAAGCCUAGUUACUUAAGUUGUCUUGGUAAGAUCUACAAAUUUGUAUAAUAAGUCUGCACGCGUGUAGUCCUUGAUAAUCAAAUUAAAUUGCUAGAUAAGCAUUGCUCAUUACUUGUCGGAUGCCAAAAAGUGAAAAUGACCUCAAUGAGAUGCUGACAAUACUACACAUGCAGAUGAAUAAAUGAUUUAUAUAAUACAUAAUUAAUAACUGUAUGAACACAAAUAGAUGCUUCAAACACUUCUGCUAUCUGAAGAUCAUGCGUACUCCAGUUUUUUUGCCUAUGCCAAUAUAGUAAUUUAUCUUAUUUUUAAUGAGAAGAAACAAACGCCUUUGUUGACCUAUCAACUCCUUAUGGAGAUGGUGGGCCGGCUGGGGUGAUACCAGCCGAGGAUCAAAGUUAGUGUUAACACAUGGCUAUUGAAUUCUCUGUAUCUAUUACUAUUUAUAUUUUUGACAAUGUCUAGUUUCUAAUAGUGUAUUAUAACUGAAUUGUUUAACUUUUGUAGGAAGCAAACAAAAGGACUACACUCACACGGAACCAUGAAGCCAACGAUCCACGUCAACUAGAUGUUUUAGAUUUCAUUUUGUACAACUGAUGUAUCAUACUUGCAUCUUUUACAUGUCCUUUUGUGAACCUGUUGUAUGGUGUCUCCGUAGUUAUGUUUAGAACAGAUUGAAGGCAGACUGAAGUGUAUGUAUGUGACACCUAGUUAAUGGAAUAAAAAAAAUGUUUG